UGGCUAGCCCGCUCGCCGCUCGCCUCUCCUCUGCGCGCGCCCGCCCCUCCCCCGCGCCUGGACGCGCGCGCUCCUCCUGCACCCCCCUCCUCGAGAAGGGACCCUGCUGAAUAAUGGAACGGGAUUGAGGCUAGCAAGAGAGGCCACUUUCUUCCUCCCCGCCCACCCCACCUGGAUGAACCCCAAUAAUGCUCUCUGGCACAGCCUGCUGAGAUGCCGCGGCGGCCACCUCUGCACGCACCCCUCAGAACGUACAUGCACACUGAGAUGUGUACCGGCUUGGGUAUGGAAACAUCCACGUGCCCAUACGGGCACAGUGUGCGGGCAGGCACACAGGCUCAGACAUAUACAUGCAUGCAUGUGCUCACAAACAUGGGCACACCAACUCACUCUCAGGGGAGCAUGUACACAUGCUCACCGGGCAUACACGCGUGCACACACACGUUUGAUCACAGGCCAUGAAUGGCCAGCAUACACACAGACACCCCUGCCCUCCAAGCUCACCCUCCAAAAUAGGGUCCACAGCAUACAGUGCACCCAGAGCCUUUGAGGUACUCAGGAGUAAGGCAUGCCACACACAUACAGCUCCCCACCACCUCCCCAAAAGGCUGCUCCCCCAGCCCCCUGCACAAGCCUCUCCUGGACUCCUCCAAUCCUUCCUCUCCAUUCCCACUGCCCCUCCCCUGGCUCCAACCUCUCUCUCCAUGGUGGGGUCUAGAGGACACCUGCCCACGGAGUGUCCCACUUAGGACAAAACCCUUCCUGGGCCACAUAUGUCAAGCUGAGGAAACCACUUCUCCUUCAGGAUGCCCUCCAAUUGGGAUCUGUCCCCCAAACUUUUGGACGCCUCUGGAAAGCACCUGUGGCCCCAGAGGUAAGCACAGAGACUCCUUUCCCAUCACCCGGUAUGCACCAACCUGCUUGGACAGCGGAGAGGCUGGGAAGGCAGAGGGUAGAGGAGAAGGGAAAGGAGAGAGGUGGAGAGGGCACCUGGGGGAGCUGAAGAAACAGUGCAGCAGAGUGAGGAGGAGGGCUGGAUAAGGAAAGGACAGGAGGCAGGGGUGGGUGAAGUGAGAAAGGGGAGGGGCUGGAGAGAGCUGGCUCCUGCUUAUUGAUUCUGAACUCCAUUUGGGAGCAAAAACUGUCACCAUGGGCCCCAUGUGCCACCCCCAGUUCCAGGAUGUAAUCAGGACCCAGGACAUCUCCCCAGUGCUGCUGCCAGUCCUCCACCCCUACUACAUGCCAGGGCUGGAUUUGGACCCCAGGCCUUUAGAAGUGAAGAAAGCGGUCCUCAGAGGCACCCAGAGGAGGCUUCCGGUGGUGCAGUGCUAGAGAAGAGACUGCAGGCCAGGAGCAGGGCUGGGGCCCCCAGAGGCCACGUCCCCCUGACCUCUCUAUCCCGUUCUUGGGCCCCUGGAUCUGGAAUAUAGACUGACACAGCUCUGAGCAGGCAAAAAAUUUAUGGUCCCACAGGGAGGGAGGGAAGAGCUGGUGGCGAGAGGAGAGGAAGGGAAACCGCCUAGAGGCCAAUCAAUACCAGUGAGUGGGAACUGGAGAAAGAUGGGGGUGGAGGGCAAGGUUGAGAAGGGAGGGGGAGACAUAGAGGGUAAAAAAGAAGGGAGAGACAGAGGUGUGCAAGAGAUCAAUAGAGGCUGCAGAGAUGAACAGAGACAGGGAGGCAGAGAUGGUAAGGAACUGACUGCCAGGAGAGGCAGGAGACAGGCUCUGAAAGACAGAGGAGCAAGCAAGCCUGAUGGGAACACCUCAGUCCCAAAUCUCAGGCCUGGGAAGUGUCUCCUUUUAGCCACCCUUUCUCAUUUCAUAUUCUCUUUUUCAUUCACUGUCCACUUUCCUCCAUCAUAUCUUUUCUCUCCUGUCUUCCCAAAGGAGAUACUCAUAAGCCUUAAAGGAACACAAAGUUCACUGCACCCCCAGGAGUAGCCCCCAUGUCACAAAUGGAGAAAUUGAGGUGAAGGCUCCACUGUGUGGGAGUGAAGCAGUGGCGACGGGCAGCAGCGCUUCGUGAUCCUGAUUUCUUCCACCCCAGGCAAGAAGUGCCCACCAUGGGUACCACCACCACUCCCCUGGGGACUAAAUGAGCAGCAGGAAGUGACAAACAGGCGCACCUAAGUUCCAGCCGAGCUCUACCAUCGACCCUCUAUGACUUGGGCAGGACCCCAGGGAAGAUGAUUUAAGCGAUGCUGAGGAGGCUGCACUCUGCCCACCCACUCCAGCCCAAUCAUCCAAGGGAAACGCCAAAGCUACCCCACAGAGUAGAAGGUUGCCUCUCCGCCAUUCUUGCCUCAGCUGCCCUCCCUCUGCAGGGCUCUAACCAGCUGCUGGCCACCAACCGCUAGGGACUGGGAGCUGCUACUGAACCUGCCCUCUCUGGGGAGGGGCCUCAAACAGAAUGCAAGUUGGCAAGCAAAUGUCCAGCCUGGGAGGAAAAGAACCAAGCAAAGACAGUAGGGAGUGACAUUGUAGCUCAAGGGGACAAACUGCAGCUGGGAUGCUUGGGGAAGAAAGAGGAGCCCAUUCCAGGCAAACCAGCUGUCCAGCAGCCUAGCCUCCUGGGAGCCUCCAAAGCCUGUCCUCUGGGAUGUGGUCCUGCUCUCAGCAGGAAAUAACAGAUUCCCACUUCAUGCCCUGAGGGCAUCUAAGGGAGUGCAGGUUGUUAACAGCCCCCCUCCCUGUGCAAUAGUGUGUCUGUGUGAGAUACAAAUACAUGUAAGGCCAUCACCAAAACCACACAGGACGGCAGCAAGUUCACCCCACUGAGGCCAACACCUUUGGUUCUGGGUGAAGGGAGCAGGGUCCCAUCAGCUGAGAACAAGGAGGAGAGGCUAUCUAUCAGUGGGCCCCUCCAGAGCUUCAGGCAGCAGCAAUCCUGCACAGUCCCAGGAGAAAGACCCUAUGAGGGGACAGCAGGCCGCAGCUCCCCUGGGACUCUGCAGACAAGGGAUGAGAAGGAAGCAAGCAACACAGCUCCUGAGUGCUCAGAGGCCCUCUUUCCUCCCUGGCAGCCCCUACAGCUGGGAAUGGACCCUGGUCUCCCCAAACCAUCCCCAGCCCUCCCAGGCACUCACGAUCAUUGCAGACAGGGCCUCCAUAGGAAGUCAUGGUGCAGUCGCAGGUGAAGCCAUCCCACUGCUGCAAGCAGACGCCCUGGUUGGCACAGGACUCUUCAGUGCAGGUGGUGCUGGGGCCUGGAAGGGGCAGGAGAAAGGAACACCCCUGGCUCAGCCAAGCCCCCUCUCUCCCCAGGAGGUGUGGAAGCUUCAGAGUCAGGAGGAGAGGUCCUACUCUGAGUUCUGCCUGGCUGAAAGGGCCAAGUACUGAUGAGAGGGAUUGGGGCGGGCGGGUCAGGUCUGUGACGCUUGGCCUUGGACUGUGACAAGGGGCCAGGGUGUGAGACAACAGGGAGGGCAAGUGACCCUUCACACACCUGUAUCCCUGCCCCAGAACUGUGGGGGCAAACUCCCAUAGGCCUGAGAAGGAAGGCCCCUUUGCAGAGCAGAGGCUACCUGCCCUGGUCUGCCUCUGCAGCUGGCGGUCCUGUAGCCAGUAGGGCCACGCCUCACUCCUCCACCCUCC